rnacentral:rRNA from 1 species
AGGACGAACGCUGGCGGCGUGCUUAACACAUGCAAGUCGGGCGGAAAGGCCCUUCGGGGUACUCGAGCGGCGAACGGGUGAGUAACACGUGGGCAACCUGCCCUUAGCUCUGGGAUAGCUCCGGGAAACCGGAAUUAAUACCGGAUAUGACCUAGGCCGACAUCGGCCGUGGUGGAAAGUUUUUCGGCUAGGGAUGGACUCGCGGCCUAUCAGCUAGUUGGUGGGGUAAUGGCCUACCAAGGCGACGACGGGUAGCCGGCCUGAGAGGGCGACCGGCCACACUGGGACUGAGACACGGCCCAGACUCCUACGGGAGGCAGCAGUGGGGAAUCUUGCACAAUGGGCGAAAGCCUGACGCAGCGACGCCGCGUGGGGGAUGAAGGCCUUCGGGUUGUAAACCCCUUUCAGCAGGGACGAAGCGAAAGUGACGGUACCUGCAGAAGAAGCGCCGGCUAACUACGCGCCAGCAGCCGC